rnacentral:rRNA from 1 species
AAGUCGAGCGGCAAGCGGUAGCAAUACCGCCUAGAGCGGCGGACUGGUGAGUAACGCGUGGGUGAUCUACCCAUAGGUUGGGGAUAGCCUGUAGAAAUAUAGGGUAAUACCGAAUAUCCUUACUGGACUUUGGUUUGGCAAGGAAAGGCGCUUCGGCGCCGCCUGUGGAUGAGCCCGCGUACUAUUAGCUAGUUGGUGAGGUAAUGGCCCACCAAGGCGAUGAUAGUUAGCCGGCCUGAGAGGGUGAUCGGCCACAUUGGGACUGAGAUACGGCCCAAACUCCUACGGGAGGCAGCAGCUAAGAAUAUUCCGCAAUGGACGAAAGUCUGACGGAGCGACGCCGCGUGAAUGACGAAGGCCGAAAGGUUGUAAAAUUCUUUUGCCACUGAAGAAUAAGCAUGGUAGGUAAUGACCGUGUGAUGACGUUAGGUGGUGAAUAAGCCCCGGCUAAUUACGUGCCAGCAGCCGCGGUAACACGUAAGGGGCGAGCGUUGUUCGGAAUUAUUGGGCGUAAAGGGCGCGUAGGCGGCUCUGUAAGUCUGAAGUGAAAUCCCGCAGCUUAACUGCGGAACUGCUUCGGAAACUGCUGAGCUCGAGUCUAGGAGGGGAAGUUGGAAUUCCUAGUGUAGGGGUGAAAUCUAUAGAUAUUAGGAAGAACACCAAUGGCGAAGGCAAACUUCUAGCCUAAGACUGACGCUGAGGCGCGAAAG